GCGAGCGGACUUGCGAUUGACAUAAUUUCUUCGUUCGGACUCGGAAUUGAGCGAUUCUCGUUGCGUUGGAAAGAGGAAAGGAUUGUCUAUCAAUCCUAAGCAUCAUAUCAAGAUGUGACAGACUAUCGAGCUACGAGUAUGACGAACCAAGAAGCUCGAUGAGGAUUGACGGACCAGUCUCCUGGAGCUUACGUUCGGAUAUAAGGAAUAGCGGUCACAGUAUUAGAAGUCGGAUCAGACAAGCCAUCUCCAUUGUGCCAAAAGUCAUUGGACUUGCACAAAUAUGAGUUCCUAGAGCUGCAGUAGUCAGUAGGUGUCAGUAUAAGGAUAGCGAUUUAAUUUCAAAUAGUUUAUUUUGAAUGUAAACUCUAAUAUAAUACUUUGAUAUCUAUAAGUAUGUUAUCUAAAAGAGUUUUCUGAAAAUAUUCUAUAUAUAUGAUAAUAUGUUU